rnacentral:lncRNA from 1 species
CAGCUUGAUGCUAACACUGCAUGAAAGUAUGGAUAACUUUAUCAUAUUUACAUACGAGUGAUUAUGUGUCCCUUUUGGUUUUCUGUGUCUUCUCAGAAACAACCAGCCUUGAAGGAUACAAAUGACAAGAAAGACUCUGUUUCGAACAUAGCCACAGAACUAAAAGAUGAACAAAAAUCUGGGACAGUGCUUCCUGCUGUUGAACAGUGUUUAAACAGGAGUCUCUACAGACCGGAUGCUGUUGCACAGCCUGUGACAGAGGAUGAGUUUGCUUUGGAAUCUGCAGUAGAGUACUCUCUUGUGAAAUUAAUUUUCUCACUCUGAAUCUCAUUUUUUAUAUUAUUUUCUUCUAAAACUUAGCAGUUGUCUACCUAUCAUUGUUUUAUGUUAGUAUUAAAACUUUUAUUAGAGAUAACCAUUUUAAAGAAAUGGGAGGGGUUAAUUUUAAUUUUUUUUUACUUUGGCAAAUAACAAAUAGCUCAUAAAUUCUUUGAGAGGUGUGAUCUGAAAAAAAAUUUGCUGGAAAAUACACAGUGACAGAAAAAUGGUGUUCGGUGACGCUUUCCCACAAUAGAGGAGAUACAAAUUUUGGUCUAGGCUUAUUUGAGUGUUUUUACUUUGAGUUGUAUAUCAUAUGAGUAUGACUAAUAAUACCUCUGUUUAAAUGAAUCUUUAAUACAUCAGAUGACUUAUCAUAGAAAUCAUGGAAUCACUCUGUUACACAUAGCAUGUGGUUUCUUUUUAUUUCUUGUACACAUAUUUUGAUAUCAU